rnacentral:rRNA from 1 species
UCGGGAAUUUUGGGCAAUGGGCGAAAGCCUGACCCAGCAACGCCGCGUGAAGGAUGAAAUCCUUCGGGAUGUAAACUUCGCAAGAACGGGAAGAAUAAGUAAGAGUUAAUAUCUCUUACGAUGACGGUACUGUUUGUAAGCUCCGGCUAACUCCGUGCCAGCAGCCGCGGUAAUACGGGGGGAGCAAGCGUUGUUCGGAUUUACUGGGCGUAAAGGGCGCGUAGGCGGCAAUUCAAGUCAUCUGUGAAAUCUCCGGGCUUAACUCGGAACGGUCAGAUGAUACUGCUUUGCUUGAGUGCGGAAGGGGCAAUCGGAAUUCUUGGUGUAGCGGUGAAAUGCGUAGAUAUCAAGAGGAACACCUGAGGUGAAGACGGGUUGCUGGGCCGACACUGACGCUGAUAGCGCGAAAGCCAGGGGAGCAAA